CGUGGACCAGUUUUUUCCCCUCAUCCAGCUGGCACUUUUUCUCUUGGGAGGAGUUGUUUUCCCUUAGGGAAAAUACAAAGGGCACCUCCACACCCAUACUAAGACACAUGAAGUCUGCUGGUAUUUAAAGGCUGACAAAUUUAGCUUGCUGAUCCUUGCUGUUGCACAGACUGAGAGCACCUGAUAUCACCAGCAUGAAAUUCCCCAGCCUCUCCAGCCUGCUGUAUAUUCUGUUUCUGUGUUUGUUAGCCUUCUCUACAGAAGGUGCAAGACGAGUUAGACACCAGAAAGUUCUCUGCUGCCAGAAUGCUCCAAACCAUGUGCUCAGGAGUUUGAAAGGGAGAAAUCCAAAAAUGGCACCGCUCCACAAAUUUUGUAAAGGCAGAGUCAGUUCUCUUUGUAAGAGGAUCCCUGGGGCACUUCCUCAGAUAUAACCCACCAGAACAGGAGACCACAAAAGAAGGCAAAGACCAAGAGACCUUCUCUGACCUCCAAGUUAACAAGGCUGCUUUUUGCUUUCAACCUGAAGCCCCUCACCCUUCAAAGGGGAUUCAUCCCUCUCCAAGCUGCAUCGUGCUGACAAAGAUCAAUCUUGGAUGAACCCCUGCACCCAACUCCCAAAGGCCACCCAUUCAGUCAUUGAGUCUCAAUCACCCUUCGGCCAGUUGUGUUUGCUCUGCCCAGGGAAAGCAUGAGACUGAAAGCUUCUGUAGCUGUCUGUGCCAAGGAUACUCAGAUUAUAGUAUCUCUGCCCCUCUCUGGCAUUGUCACUUAACUGAUCCUGACCUCCUGUUCUUUAUGCUUUAAGUUUGUCAUACAUAGUUUGUCAUACGUGUAACUAAUGAAUGAAUCACAGGUUUGAAACUCCUGUGUAGUUCCUGUGUGCUAAAUCCCCAAAGAGCAAGCACAAAGAGUUCUGUUACUGGGCAUGUGCCAUCGGACAGUAUCAGCACUCACCUUAUAGCUAACAGUGUUUGAUUUUACUUCUACUAUACAGGGCUUUGCAAUUUGAGGGCUGGCUGAGGUCCUGGAAAGGGGAUCAUAAUCAUAAUUGUGCAAUACAGUGGAAUAAAGCUCUGUGUUUAGCACUGUGCCA
rnacentral:lncRNA from 1 species